AUUGAACGCUGGCGGCAGGCUUAACACAUGCAAGUCGAACGAGUGGCGGACGGGUGAGUAAUGCUUGGGAAUCUAGCUUAUGGAGGGGGAUAACUACGGGAAACUGUAGCUAAUACCGCGUACCAUAGGAAGAGCCCCAGUGGGAUUAUGUAGUUGGUGAGGUAAAGGCUCACCAAACCGACGAACUCUAGCUGGUCUGAUAGGAAGACCAUCCACACUGUGACUGAGACACGGCCCAGACGCCUACGGGAGUCAUCAGUGGGUAAGAUUGCGCGAGGGGGGAAACCUGACGCAGCCAUGCCGCGUGAAUGAAGAAGGCCUUCGGGUUAUAAAGUUCUUUCGGUAGCGAGGCGUUAACUACAGAAGAAGCACCGGCUAACUCCGUGCCAGCAGCCGCGGUAAUUC
rnacentral:rRNA from 1 species